AUUGAACGCUGGCGGCAGGCUUAACACAUGCAAGUCGAGCGGAGAUGAGGUGCUUGCACCUUAUCUUAGCGGCGGACGGGUGAGUAAUGCUUAGGAAUCUGCCUAUUAGUGGGGGACAACAUUCCGAAAGGAAUGCUAAUACCGCAUACGUCCUACGGGAGAAAGCAGGGGAUCUUCGGACCUUGCGCUAAUAGAUGAGCCUAAGUCGGAUUAGCUAGUUGGUGGGGCAAAGGCCUACCAAGGCGACGAUCUGUAGCGGGUCUGAGAGGGUGAGCCGCCACACUGGGACUGGGACACGGCCCAGACUCCUACGGGAGGCAGGAGUGGGGAAUAUUGGACAAUGGGGGGAACCCUGAUCCAGCCAUGCCGCGGGUGUGAAGAAGGCCUUAUGGUUGUAAAGCACUUUAAGCGAGGAGGAGGCUACUGAGACUAAUACUCUUGGAUAGUGGACGUUACUCGCAGAAUAAGCACCGGCUAACUCUGUGCCAGCAGCCGCCGUAAGAC
rnacentral:rRNA from 1 species